UAGGUGGAUUCAUCUGCCAGUGUUCGCAUCACAGAAGAUUUUACUUGUGUAAGAAGUGGUGAAAUAAGUCCUUACAUUGAAGGCAAAGAUCAUUCUUCCCCUUGUCCUCUUGCAGUUGCAGCAGUGUCUAGCAAAGUUGCAUCCUCUGCUGUAGCAGUUUAAAGAUGGAGGUCUCACUGAAACCAGAAGUUUUCAAUGCUCCAAGCCAGAGCUUCACAUCUUGUCAUGAUAUGCUCAUUCUCCCUGCCUUGAAAUAAAGACUUGCUCUAAUGGAAUCAUGUUGGUGUCUGAAUGUCACAAGGGAGAGAAAUCUGUGUAAAGGUAUUAUUGAAGGAAGCAGGUGUCUACACCACAGAAAAUGAUAAUAGCUGCUGGUGGGAGUACUUGACAGAAACUGAAGACUCACACACUUCAGGUCUUAAAGCUGCUUUUGUAGAACUGUCAUGCUGUCCUGGAAGAAAGCAAACAAUUGAGAGGGUGUCUAUGUGAUGGUUCUCAAAGCUCAACCAAGAGAGAAAAAUAGCCAAGGUAAGCUACAAGAGAUCUUAAAGGAUGUGAUCAAGUGAAAGAAAAAGAAAUUCUGUGUCUUGGCUAUGACUAUUAGAAGAAAAUGAGUUGCUAUUUUUAGCAUCAUAGCCUGUGAAGAAACUUUGUUUCAUCCAGCUGUGCUACAUCCCAAAUACUGUGGUUGGUAACACCAUGGUAAGAGAGAGUGAUCCUCUGCCCUGCAAUUGUGCUACGCUAUGGAGAAGCACACAGCAAGCCAGCAAGUGCUAAUGAGGAAGAAAAAAUUCUGAGCUUCAUCCUAAAGGAAUGUCAGUGUUUCUUAACUGAGGAAAUUAUCAAUUUUUUUCCCAUUCCCCAGUACUUGAGGUUGUUAAUCAUUUAAUAUUUUAAUGAGGAAAAUAGUCUGAUGUCACGAUUGUGAGAGUCCCUGUAGUUGUAAGUUCUUAUUUUAAAAAGCAUAGUUAAAGAUUAUUUUAAUGAAAAGCAAAUUAUAUCUCAGCUAUAAUAACCCAAAUUCUAUAGCUAUAAAUUUUCUAACUUUUUUACAUGAAAUACAGCCUUAUCUUUCUCAUAUCUCAUCAGUGAAGGAUAAAAUGCUGGCAGGUCAUACGGCUAGUCACAUCUUGGAGGUUUCUGUAUUUUUUAUAUUGUACAGGGGUGUGAAUGAAGUGAAAAUUUAAUGACCACUUGUCUUCUACCCUGUAAAAUUUGCUGGGGAUUUUGAGGUUUCAAGCUCUGGAGUAUAUGAAUAAUUUCCAAAUCUGUCAUAUCUGUAGUGGUAAUUGGCUGCAGAAUUUUUUUAGCUUUUAUGAAAGCUUCCCAAGAUUCCCAUCAGUCUAGACAUGGAAAUAAAUCAGACUAGGUUUAACUUUCAUAUUUAAGAAUUUCUAUUCAUGAGUUAAAAAAGCAGGGCUCAAUGUAAAAUUAAAAAAGAGAAUCUGUUUCUGCAGCUAACUGUUCUUUUAAAUUAUUUGUUUUUAAAAAUAUUUCACCUUUUUUAGAAACACACUGAACAUUUUUUGUGCUGAACUGUACUUUCCGUAAUUAAAAAAAAGCUGUAAUGCUGCAUAAAAAUUAUGAUAUUUCAGUAGAUUUAAUUGAGCUAUCUAUGCUUUCCAGAAGUGCUUCCCUACUUUUUCAGGGCAUAGUGAACCGUUAGAGGGGUAAUGUUAGAGCACCAAUAAUAAUGCUGUUUUGAUGUGUAUCUGGUUUAGUUUUGUUUUUUUUU